GGCGGGUGGAGGUGAGAGGGAAGGGCCGAGGGGCCGGGCCGGAGCAGGCAGCGAGAGCACGGGCACCGCCACCUCGGGGCACGCCGAGGCUGCCUUGUUUUGGGGGAUUUUCACAAUGUCUUCGGUGAGACUGGAAAUAGCCCAGAAAGGUCUGCGCAGAUUUCCAGAACGUUCUACACAUGGAGCGAGAACUGAAGCGCUGCCUCGCUGCGGUGUGUCCCCCUUCGCCUGGGUGUGAAGGAAGGCUCAGUGCUAAGGACCAGAGUUUAUCCCACAAUCAUCCAUCAUCUAGAGAAGAACUUUACAGCCUAAUUGUGAGUCAGCCCAGAACAUUUAAGUAUCCUUACUGAGAUGGGAAUUCGAAUGAGGAAAAACGGUCCAUUUCCAGGGGAGAUGAAUUGAAGACCCUGUCAUGUGUCACUGGUGGCAUCUCUGUGCUGGGUUACUGGUAAGUGCAGAAGAGAUCAUUACUCCAGCUUCAACCACUCUUCUCAGAUUAAAACAAUGGUAGUCACAGGGAUAGCAAAAGACAUUCAGCUGUUUGAACAGCUGUUUCUGUUCACUUCUGAAGAAAGGCAGUCAAAUCAGGUGCAGUCAUGCCUGCUGGCUAGGUUGGUAUAACAACCACUUAGUCAUAUAAACCAUGGCCAUCAUCACAUCUUCGCGUUGCAGACUUCAUUGUAAGGGCACUAACAAAUUUCAUUCAAGUGCUAUUCAAAUCUGUACCAGUUAAUAGAGUCAUCUCAUUCAGUGUGAAUUAUUUGGUAUUGAGCUAGACUCAAAUUCAUCUUCUUCAACAGCACAUAAUGAUUUAUUUAUGCCCUAUGACUAAGUUUUUCAGAACCUUCUUAAAUCUUGUUGCAGCUUGUCAGGAGCUUCUUCCAUGUAGUCCAUGUUAACAUACUAAAAUUUGCUGGCAGGUAAAUUUAUUAUGACUGAAGUCAGGCUGGCAUCUGAGCUUGUGUCUAACUCAGGAUGUGCAGGAUUACUUAGACACUUGAAGCUACUAGUACUAUUCCUGCAUAAGCAACUUCUUGAAAUGGGGCCUCAUCACCUGUAAGGAUGAACAGCUGCUGAGCUGGAAAAAAGUAAACAAAUCCUCUGGUAUGGAAAUCUGUUUUACAUUCCCUACUUAAUGUGUAAUACUCAACUAAUUCUGCCUGUACUGCGUGCACACAUUCUGAUUCUAAUUCCCGUUAAAUGAUGUCCUGAAGUGUCGAAGUGGAGAAGUCUAUAAAGUGUAUACGUCUGAAAAAGAUAAUUAUUUUUAAAUAUGUUUUCCUUGAAAGUGAUUACAUUAAGCAUGAAAUCUGUGUGAUUCUUCCUCUUUCUGAUUUUUGCUACAAAUGGAAUUAGGCGGAUUGUAAAGAAUGUUACUGAAUUCUUCUGUGUGUUAAAAAAGGAAGUUGGAAUUUUUGAGGGAUGUGAAGUGUUAUCACUGUCACAAUAUUGGGGGAGAGGGAGGCUAAAGAGCUGAGACAUGCUUUCCAAUAAAUACAGUGCUCUUCAGGCACAAAGACUUGGGAAGGAAACAAUUCUUUCUAAUUAGGAAAGUAAUUUUAAGCAGAAAAAGAUGUAAAAGCUUAAGGACUGUUCUUGUCAGAGAGAGAUGUUUCUGAGAAGAAUUAGGGCAAUAGAGGAUUAU
rnacentral:lncRNA from 1 species